GAAGGCAGCAGCAGUCAGCUAUUCUUGCGUGUGGUAC
rnacentral:SRP_RNA from 12 species